GAUGCACAUGCCGCGUGUAUGAGAGGCCUUCGGGUUGUAAAGUACUUUCAGCGGGGAGGAAGCGAUAGGUUAAUAACCUUGUCGAUUGACGUUACCCGCAGAAGAGCACCGGCUAACUCCGUGCCAGCAGCCGCGGUAAUACGGAGGGUGCAAGCGUUAAUCGGAAUUACUGGGCGUAAAGCGCACGCAGGCGGUCUGUCAAGUCGGAUGUGAAAUCCCCGGGCUCAACCUGGGAACUGCAUUCGAAACUGGCAGGCUAGAGUCUUUAGAGGGGGGUAGAAUUCCAGGUGUAGCGGUGAAAUGCGUAGAGAUCUGGAGGAAUACCG
rnacentral:rRNA from 1 species